rnacentral:rRNA from 1 species
UACGGGGGGAGCAAGCGUUGUUCGGAUUUACUGGGCGUAAAGGGCGCGUAGGCGGUCAGCACAAGUCAGUUGUGAAAUCUCCGGGCUUAACUCGGAAAGGUCAACUGAUACUGUGCGACUAGAGUGCGGAAGGGGCAACUGGAAUUCUUGGUGUAGCGGUGGAAUGCGCAGAUAUCAGGAGGAACACCGGUGGCGAAGGCGGGAUCCUGGGCCGACACUGACGCUGAGGCGCGAAAGCCAGGGGAGCGAACGGG